rnacentral:rRNA from 1 species
GAUGAACGCUGGCGGCGUGCUUAACACAUGCAAGUCGAACGAUGAUCCCAGCUUGCUGGGGGAUUAGUGGCGAACGGGUGAGUAACACGUGAGUAACCUGCCCUUGACUCUGGGAUAAGCCUGGGAAACUGGGUCUAAUACCGGAUAUGACUGUCUGACGCAUGUCAGGUGGUGGAAAGCUUUUGUGGUUUUGGAUGGACUCGCGGCCUAUCAGCUUGUUGGUGGGGUAAUGGCCUACCAAGGCGACGACGGGUAGCCGGCCUGAGAGGGUGACCGGCCACACUGGGACUGAGACACGGCCCAGACUCCUACGGGAGGCAGCAGUGGGGAAUAUUGCACAAUGGGCGCAAGCCUGAUGCAGCGACGCCGCGUGAGGGAUGACGGCCUUCGGGUUGUAAACCUCUUUCAGUAGGGAAGAAGCGAAAGUGACGGUACCUGCAGAAGAAGCGCCGGCUAACUACGUGCCAGCAGCCGCGGUAAUACGUAGGGCGCAAGCGUUAUCCGGAAUUAUUGGGCGUAAAGAGCUCGUAGGCGGUUUGUCGCGUCUGCUGUGAAAGACCGGGGCUCAACUCCGGUUCUGCAGUGGGUACGGGCAGACUAGAGUGCAGUAGGGGAGACUGGAAUUCCUGGUGUAGCGGUGAAAUGCCCA